rnacentral:sRNA from 1 species
UAGCAGAAUUGGGAAAGGCAGCAGUACAGUAAGGGGAGAGACUGUCCAUUCUAAGGCCUGGGGUCAUGGACCCAAGCAGGUACCAAUAUAGAUAAUAAGCCUGAACCAGGAUGUUGAGUCAACUGUGGAGGGACAGAGCCCCAGGGAAAGACUGGCCUCUAUGUGGCCCCCUGACCCAACUGCCCCUCAGCAGGUGGUCAGGGCUGCUGGUCCUGGCUGGCCAAGGGCCACAUGUUACCCAGCCUCAGCAAGAGCCAGCAAGACUUGCUCUUGAAUAAGAGCCUCCUGAGGCAAGUUCAGCCCCCUCUGUCCACUGUUGCCCUCAGCUUAUCUUCAGAGCCUGCAGAGCCUCUGUUGGUCAGGCAUCCCCUUAGGCCCCGGACCACCGGCCCCAGGCCCCGGCAAGAUCCCCACAAGGCUGGACUGAGUCACUAUGUGAAACUCUUUAGCUUCUAUGCCAAGAUGCCCAUGGAGAGGAAGGCUCUUGAGAUGGUGGAGAAGUGCCUAGAUAAAUAUUUCCAGCAUCUUUGUGACGACCUGGAGGUAUUUGCUGCCCAUGCUGGCCGCAAGACUGUGAAGCCAGAGGACCUGGAGCUGCUGAUGCGGCGGUGAGAGGGCGGAAGGUGUGGGGGUGCUGGCUGGGGGAGUUCUGGUGCUGAUUCUGCCUGUCCCUUCUCUUCCUCCACUGCAGGCAGGGCCUGGUCACCGACCAAGUCUCACUGCAUGUGCUAGUGGAGCGGCACCUGCCACUGGAGUACCGGCAGCUGCUCAUCCCCUGUGCGUACGGUGGCAACUCUGUCUUCCCUGCCCAGUAGUGGCCAGGCUUCAACACUUUCCCUGUCCCCACCUGGGGCCUCUUGCCCCCACAUAUUUCUCCAGGUCUCCUCCCCACCCCC